rnacentral:lncRNA from 1 species
AUCACGGGGAUUAACUUCAGAAUUGUAAUUAGAUUUUUUGGUUUCACGACUACCCCAAGGGAGCCAAGGAUUAGGAUCAUGUGUAUCAGCUUCAGAAUUGUAAUUACGUUUUUUGGUUUCACGACUACCCCAAGGGAGCCAAGGAUUAAGAUCACGGGUAUUAACUUCAUUAUUGUAAAUAGGUUUUAUGGUUUCACGACUACCCCAAGGGAGCCAAGGAUUAGGAUCACGGGUAUUAACUCUAGAAGUUGUAAGUAAGUAGUCUUUUGGUUUCCCGACUACCCCAAGGGAGCAAGGAUUAAGAUCACGGGUAUUAACUUCAGAAUUGUAAAUAGGUUUUUUGUUUCACGACUACCCCAAGGGAGCCAAGGAUUAAGAUCACGGGUAUUAAUUCAUUAUUGUAAAUAGGUUUUAUGGUUUCACGACUACCCCAAGGGAGCCAAGGAUUAGGAUCACGGGUAUUAACUUCAGAAUUGUAAAUAGGUCUUUUGGUUUCCGACUACCCAAGGGAGCCAAGGAUUAGGAUCACGGGUAUUAACUUCAGAAUUGUAAAUAGGUUUUUGAUUUCACGACUACCCCAAGGGAGCCAAGGAUUAAGAUCACGGGUAUUAACUUCAUUAUUGUAAAUAGGUUUUAUGGUUUCAGCGACUACCCAAGGAGCCAAGGAUUAGGAUCACGGUAUUAACUUCAGAAUUGUAAAUGGUCUUUUGGUUUCCCGACUACCCAAGGGAGCAAGGAUUAGAUCACGGUAUUAACUUCAGAAUUGUAAAUAGGUUUUUGAUUUCACGACUACCCCAAGG